GAAAAUGGAAUAAAUGGUGUAUGUAGUUAGAAUGAUUCGAAUAAUGAUGUUUUGUUUUCUUUUUGUUUCCUUUAUUUUCAUUUCCUGUUUCUUCGUCAUUAUUAUUCCCAUUGUCGAACGAUGACAACGAGAUGCUUCACGAGAGAAUAGUGUAC
rnacentral:ribozyme from 1 species